rnacentral:rRNA from 1 species
GACGAACGCUGGCGGCGUGCUUAACACAUGCAAGUCGAACGAUGAAGCCGGAGCUUGCUCUGGUGAAUUAGUGGCGAACGGGUGAGUAACACGUGAGUAACCUGCCCUUGACUCUGGGAUAACUGCGGGAAACUGUAGCUAAUACCGGAUACGACCCUCGGAGGCGUCUCCUGGGGGUGGAAAGAAUUUCGGUCAAGGAUGGACUCGCGGCCUAUCAGUUAGUUGGUGAGGUAAAGGCUCACCAAGGCGACGACGGGUAGCCGGCCUGAGAGGGUGACCGGCCACACUGGGACUGAGACACGGCCCAGACUCCUACGGGAGGCAGCAGUGGGGAAUAUUGCACAAUGGGCGCAAGCCUGAUGCAGCAACGCCGCGUGAGGGAUGACGGCCUUCGGGUUGUAAACCUCUUUUAGCAGGGAAGAAGCGAAAGUGACGGUACCUGCAGAAAAAGCACCGGCUAACUACGUGCCAGCAGCCGCCGUAA